rnacentral:snRNA from 1 species
AUAUUUACUUGGCAGGGGAGAUACUUUGAUCACAAAGGUGGUUUUCCCAGAGCGUUGUUUAUCCAUUUCACUCCAGAAAUUCAAGCGCCCAGUUUGUGGCAGUGGAGAGGCUGCAUCGCACUCUCCC